UAUUUGAGGGACACAUUUAGUGGACACGACGGUGAUGGGUUGAUGGUUGGACUUGAUGAGAUCUUAAAGCUCUUUUCCAACUUUGAUGAUUGUGCAAUUCUUUGAUUCUGUGGUCUUGUAAUGUGGUGGACAGACCCCACAACCAAACCCAGGUGGGAUGUUUCACCUUGUAGGGUGACACAUAGACACCUUCCCCAAACCCAGGUGGGAUAUUUGAGGGACACAUUUAGUGGACACGACGGUGAUGGGUUGAUGGUUGGACUUGAUGAGAUCUUAAAGCUCUUUUCCAACUUUGAUGAUUCUGCAGUUCAGUUUCAUUUUCCAGCCCUUUUGGAUUGAAGCACUUUGCUUCAAUCCUACCUUCAGGACUUCCUGAGGCUGGGUAAGGAGGGAGGAAGGAAAAGGGCUGUGAAGUUUUCAGUUUAGCAGUUAUGAGUGCUGUAGACAAUCUCCUUUCAAAUCAUAAAACGACAAAUUUUCAACGUGCUGGGCCGUUACAGCGCUGGAAUCAGCUGGGAUGGCAAAGCUGGAAGAAAAAGGACGAGCAGGAAUGUCACCCUGCCCUGACCUGAAGGAAACUGUCAUUCGGCCGAGGUGGGAUCCCCUACAAGUGCUUUAUUUUGGCGUUUCCAGUCUGUGUUGUAGCCAGGCAGCCUGGUCCAAGUGCAGGUAGAACACUGGGAGCAUGCCAUCAGGUCAGACAGGAGCAGGAAGGGGCUCAUCCCCCAUCCCAGGUUGGGGACAGAGCCGGGGCCAUCAGCCCCUGGCACCCCGAGCCGGGUGGUCCGAGGAGCACCGCGGAAUGAAUUGAUUUGAUAAAUGGACAUUUAUUACGCUCACAAAUUGGCUGAAACCAAUUUCGGUCACAUCAACCCCUGAUAACUGCUGGGGUAUUGAUUUGUGUAAAGUAAUACAGUGAAUUUAUCAGUUCAAUAGCAGGCUGAAGGGCCUCUCGGAGACGCAGCGCUACAGUUACGCCGUUACAGAUGGACAAAAUAAACGGGGAGCGCGGCAGCAGCGCUGGAAGUGGCUCCGAAGAAGAAGACCUGGCUGUCCCUCGUUGGCCUCUUCACGUGGACGUUGGGGCUGAAUUUCACCAUCGAGCGUGGCCCGCCCCCCGUUUCUGCCAUCCCUGCAGCUGAGCUUGCCGAGAGGUUCGGCGCAGACUGAUGGGGUGGCAAUGGAGAAGAGUUGGGUUGAGGACCCCAGGGAAAGGAGCAUCUCUGACAGCUUCCACGGCUUUGCCCACGGUUCUCAUCCUUCCGACUGUUGUGCUUCGUCCCGAAACGGCGUCUUUCUUCCUCUUCCCAGCACCAACCCCGUGGAGUUCGGAGGCGCAGAGCUGUCAGACGGUGGCCCUCUGUGUGGAUGGCCAGAAUGGUUUUCCAAAGCUUAGGGCUGGGCCGUAUCCUGACUUUGAGGCUGCUUAUGGGAGAGCUUUUACACCUGGUCACUCUGUUGAUCUACCCAACCCGCUCUAGACAGCAGCAGUCAGCACCUUCCAGCCGAGACACAACACUGAAUCACGGGCAGUAACCUCGUGGCAGCUUUUAUGGCACGGUGUAUAUCAGGAGGGAGCCGAGCUCUUAUCCAUAAAGCCUGAUGUCCUGCUGAAAAAAAAAACACAGCACUUAACCUCGCCGCCUCCGCAGCGCCGAGCGGGCUGACCCCUGCAAGUGGUCACUCCGUGCCCCCGAGCAAAAGUUUAUUACCUUUAUUAUCUUCGCUGAAAUAGCUGCAGAAAUUGUCGGUGUCCUUGUUAUUCCCCAUCCAUUAAAAAAACAACGACAACAACUGAGCCCGGGCGGGAGGCAGGAACUGCUCGGGGUGGAGAUGCUCAGUGACUGUGGUCCAGUCAAUCCUCAGCCCUCUCGGCGUUCAGCCCAGCUGCUAUUUAAUGUCUUCCCUCUCCACCUCCUGCUGGCAGAGGCGACAUGUUGCUGCCCAUCCGUAGCUCUGUUGCACGAGGAUCUCCCCAUGUGCCGAUGCUGGGGUGCCUGGCGUCGAGGUUAUGUUAUCGUAGAAUGGAAUCACGGAAUCAUUCAGGUUGGAAAAGAUCUCCAGGAUCGUCAGGUCCGACUCCAUCCCACCCCGCCGUGCCCACUCACAGAGCCAUGCCCAAGGAGGUGGUGGAGCCACCAUCCCUGGAAGCAUCCAGGCAGCGUUUCGGUGUUGUACUGAGUGGGCCAGUGGGAGGUGUUGGUGAUGGCUGGACGGUUGGACUUGGAAAUCUUGGAGGUCUUUCCCAACCUCGGCGAUUCUAUGUAGUCGUUAAGGUCGGAAAAGCCCUCUGAGAUCCCCAAGUUGAACCCCAUCCCAUCCCCACCAACGCUCCCUGACCACAGUGCCACGUCGCCACGGCUCUGAACGCCUCCAUGGAUGGCGACCCCCCGCUCCCUGGGCAGCUGUGCCACUGCCCAACCGCUCUCAGAGUUUGUCCUAAUGUCCAACCUGCCCUGCCCUGUCACCUCAGUUGGAUGGGACGCAAUUAGAGAUCAUCGAGUCCAGCUGCCAAUCCAUCCUCACCGUGGCCAGUUGUAGAAUCACAGAAUCACGGAACUGGGAAGGUUGGAAAUGACCUCCAACCACCAACCCAGCACCACCACGUCCACUAAGAGUCAUGGAAUCAGAGCUAUGAAGGUUGGAAAUGACCUCCAACCACCAACCCAGCACCACCACGUCCACUAAGAGUCCUGGAAUCAGAGCUAUGAAGGUUGGAAAUGACCUCCAACCACCAACCCAGCACCUCUGUGCCCACUGAGAGUCCUGGAAUCAGAGCUAUGGAGGUUGGAAAUGACCUCCAGUGUAACCCAGCCACCAACCCAGCACCACCAUGCCCACUAAGGCAAAAGGCCAAUGGUCUGAGCUGGUGCCCAUUUCUCGCCCCACGGCCCCAUCCAGCCUGCUGAUGGUGCUCUGUUAGUUCCCCUUGGCUUAGAACAUCCUUCCUCCUCUUCCUCCUCUCUAGAGCAGCCUUUUGAUUCAGUGCCUGAUCAGAUUGAGGGGCUGAAUCGUAUCUCGGCUGGUUGUAGGAACCCUGAUGGGGUGAGAGGAGUCCCCAGCGCCGCAGACCUGACUGGUGUAGUAGUAGGGCUGUGCUGUCAGAAUUAGGAGCGGGGAGCAGAUGUUUGGGCCUCCAAACCCUCGUGCUGUCGUCACAAAAGUUACAAAUUUCCCCUUGGUGCCUUCACCUUUGGCAUCACCCCUUGGAGAUAACCGCCGGUUCGCCAGCACAGACCCUGCAUCAACCCGGAGCUCUGCAACCUCCCCUCUUUUCAUCUGCAGGCGAGAAAUAACGCAAGAAGAAAACGCCAACCAACAAAUCAACACCAAGAAAAAUAAAAAAA